AUUGAACGCUGGCGGCAUGCCUUACACAUGCAAGUCGAACGGUAACAGGUCUUCGGAUGCUGACGAGUGGCGAACGGGUGAGUAAUACAUCGGAACGUGCCCGAUCGUGGGGGAUAACGAGGCGAAAGCUUUGCUAAUACCGCAUACGAUCUACGGAUGAAAGCGGGGGAUCUUCGGACCUCGCGCGGACGGAGCGGCCGAUGGCAGAUUAGGUAGUUGGUGGGAUAAAAGCUUACCAAGCCGACGAUCUGUAGCUGGUCUGAGAGGAUGAUCAGCCACACUGGGACUGAGACACGGCCCAGACUCCUACGGGAGGCAGCAGUGGGGAAUUUUGAACAAUGGGCGAAAGCCUGAUCCAGCCAUGCCGCGUGCAGGAUGAAGGCCUUCGGGUUGUAAACUGCUUUUGUACGGAACGAAAAGCCUCUUUCUAAUAAAGAGGGGUCAUGACGGUACCGUAAGAAUAAGCACCGGCUAACUACGUG
rnacentral:rRNA from 1 species